AUUGAACGCUGGCGGCAGGCCUAACACAUGCGAGUCGAGCGGAUGAAGGGAGCUUGCUCCUGGAUUCAGCGGCGGACGGGUGAGUAAUGCCUAGGAAUCUGCCUGGUAGUGGGGGAUAACGUCCGGAAACGGGCGCUAAUACCGCAUACGUCCUGAGGGAGAAAGUGGGGGAUCUUCGGACCUCACGCUAUCAGAUGAGCCUAGGUCGGAUUAGCUAGUUGGUGGGGUAAAGGCCUACCAAGGCGACGAUCCGUAACUGGUCUGAGAGGAUGAUCAGUCACACUGGAACUGAGACACGGUCCAGACUCCUACGGGAGGCAGCAGUGGGGAAUAUUGGACAAUGGGCGAAAGCCCGAUCCAGCCAUGCCGCGUGUGUGAAGAAGGUCUUCGGAUUGUAAAGCACUUUAAGUUGGGAGGAAGGGCAGUAAGUUAAUACCUUGCUGUUUUGACGUUACCAACAGAAUAAGCACCGGCUAACUUCGUG
rnacentral:rRNA from 1 species